rnacentral:tRNA from 1 species
GGGAAUGUGGCUCAGUUGGUAGAGUACUUGCCUUGCAUGCAUGAGGCCCUGGGUUCGAUUCAUCAGUACCA